rnacentral:rRNA from 1 species
AUACGGAGGGUGCAAGCGUUAAUCGGAAUUACUGGGCGUAAAGCGCACGCAGGCGGUCAAUUAAGUCAGAUGUGAAAGCCCCGAGCUUAACUUGGGAAUUGCAUCUGAAACUGGUUGGCUAGAGUCUUGUAGAGGGGGGUAGAAUUCCACGUGUAGCGGUGAAAUGCGUAGAGAUGUGGAGGAAUACCGGUGGCGAAGGCGGCCCCCUGGACAAAGACUGACGCUCAGGUGCGAAAGCGUGGGGAGCAAACAGGAUUAGAUACCCUGGUAGUCCACGCUGUAAACGAUGUCGAUUUAGAGGUUGUGGUCUUGAACUGUGGCUUCUGGAGCUAACGCGUUAAAUCGACCGCCUGGGGAGUACGGCCGCAAGGUUAAAGCUCAAAUGAAUUGACGGGG